rnacentral:sRNA from 1 species
CCACGAUAUGGGCAUCGACAUGUGGCA